rnacentral:rRNA from 1 species
AUGGUAUGGUUGCCACUUGCCAAGAUACGAAUCGAUAGUGUAAUUGAUCCAGAGUGGAAGUUUGACCAAGGGCGUGCACCUAGAGCACUGGCAAAGUUGAUUGUGCUCCAUGAAUUGCCUUUCUCUUUUGUUGAGUAUCCUGGAUUUAGGUCCUUUGUUAAGACGUUGAAUCCAUGGUUCAAUGUGGUAUGUAGAGAAACAAUUAAACAAGAUUGCAUUGCUGCAUAUGAUAGACACAAAAAACAAAUUCAAGCAUUCUUUAGCAAUCUAAGUUCUCGAGUAUCAUUAACGGGUGACAUGUGGACGUCCAAUCAGAAACUGGGUUAUUUAUGCGUAACCACCCACUUUAUUGAUGGCUCAUGGACUCUAAAAAACAAAAUAAUCAGAUUUUGCCUCUUGGAAACUCCACACAAUGCCCAUAACAUGUUUGACAUGGUGCAAAAGAGAUUGAGAGGUUGUAACAUUGAAGACAAAAUCUUUAGAUUUACCCUAGACAAUGCACCUGUCAAUACCUCGAUGGUUGGCCACUUGAGAAACAAUCUGGUAGAUAGGUAUCUUGUGCAUCAUAGUGGAAAAUUAUUGCAUGUUAGAUGUGCUGCACAUGUACCAAAUCUCGUGGUGCAAGAUGGGCUCGAUGCAAUGGCGUGA